CUUUUUUUAACAUUUAAACUUAGACCACAUUAUUAUAUAUGUCAACAGUAGUAUCAGUUGGUAUAAUUACUCACAGACAUAAAGAAAUUGUGUGUCAGCUGUGGUCUUAAUGCGGGAAAACAAUCCCUGCGUCUCAAUGUUCACACUAUCCAUCCUAAAUAGUAUGUGAGAUUAGAAUAAGUGUGUCCCAAAGCAUAGUAUGCUGAAAAGAGUAUGCCAAAAGUCCCCGGAUGGUCAUGCUUGUUUUGUUUCUCUCUGCAGAUAUGUGAGUAGCUCAUAUCAAGGCAAAGUUAAAAGGGAGGUAAAGUAAGUCAAAUCUGUUCUAUCUCAUAAUCAUCUGAGUUCAUAUUCACAAAACCGGUCACAGAAGACUUCUCCGUGGUCUGUUCUUAGCUAUAAAUCAAUGCCAGGGGAGGCAGACUUGUGUUAUACACUACAAGUCAGUUUAUUUAUUACAAUUAGUAAAUAUUCUACAACUACUGUAUAAGUAUUAAAUAAAGUAUAAAUCUGAGUAAGUUCUCUGCUCAAGGCAAUAUCAGCGAUGGUUCUGGAGCCGGAGAGCUCUUCAGGUCUGGAAGCAGCAUCUGAUUUCAUCAUCACUUCAGUCUUUUAUAGACAGCAGGUGGAUCCAGUGUAUUCUGACAUCAUACUGGAAAUCCCCUCAGAAGUGCUUUAUAAAAGGCCUUGCAUCUUUCUCAUUUUUCUGCUUCGGGAUUCUUUGCUCUGCUGUCUUUUACACUUGAUCUGAAACACAGCCGCUGAGGUGAUGCCCAGCUUCUUUUCUCUUCAGCGCUCUCACUAAUACAUGUGUCAUCUCUAUGUGCUCUUGAUUAUACAUGUUAUAAAAGAUUUCUUAAGAAAU